rnacentral:sRNA from 1 species
CCUCUUCGAUCUGCUGGGGGCAGAUGAAGUGGAUAUGCGAGUCGAUGCCGCCGGCGGUGAGGAUCAUCCCCUCGCCGGCAAUCACUUCCGUCGCGGCGCCGAUGGCGAUGGUCACGUCCGGCUGGAUGUCCGGGUUGCCGGCCUUGCCGAUGGCGGCGAUACGGCCAUCCUUGAGGCCCACGUCGGCCUUGACGAUGCCCCAGUGGUCGAGGAUCAGCGCGUUGGUGAUCAGGGUGUCGACCACAUCCGCGGCACACAGCUGGCCCUGGCCCAUGCCGUCACGG